rnacentral:lncRNA from 1 species
CCACUCUCCACUGAGCAGAGGACAUCAAGGAUGCUCAGACUAACACUGGCCUGAGCUGAAGCAUCACACAGAGCAGCACACUGUGGGACUGCUGCCUUUCUACUUCUGGCUCUGAGUCAACCCAUGGCACAUUCGAGAGCUCUGCCCUGCACCCUAGUGUGUAAGGGGUACAGGACCCUGCCACAGCUCCAGCAGAGACACAGAGGGAGGACUGUGGCUCCCUGAUAUGAAUGCAGCAGUUGAAGGUGGCAGCCUAUAGCCCCUUAUCUUCCCCUCCAAGAAAUCUGCCCUGCCUUUGUUUUCUCUCUUCUUCUAUCAAGGGUUUAACUUGCCUCCCUUUCCUUCAACCCUGUUUCACAGCCUCUCAGCCUCUCUCUCCAUUUUAGGUCCAGUCUCUUGGUUUUGAUGCCUUCUUCCCUCACCUCCUCCAUGCCAAUACUGCUUACAGUUCAGGGACAGCCUGCGUUCAGAGCACACCUUAUUUCAUCAACUUCAGCCUCCACCCGUGGCCAACUCUUCAAGUCUUGCUCACCCCAGGAAAAUGGGAUUAAAGGAAGGGAAGGACAAGGUAAUGCUCUGAUAUUUGCCACUAAGCCCACAGGGAACUGGGCAAAGAAAACUCCCUACAUGGGACACGGUGUUGGCAGUAGGACGGCUCCUGUGUAGCCAACCACCACCACAGCCCUGCAGGUGAGGGAUGCUCACACUCUUAAAGCUGAGCUGUGCUCUGGAAGAGGCACAGAGUUACCCGUUGACCAGGCUGCUUUCAUAAAGCCCCAAACUGCUUUUACUAUCUCUAAAAUGUAAGUACCAAUAAAG